AAACCAAUUUUUAAAGGGAAUCUUGCAAAAUCUGCCAUAUUUCACUCUAUUUCUUUCAAUUUCUGCUAUAUUCUGAAAUUCCUUUCAAAAUUUGCCACAUUUUGGUCUACGUGGAAUUCAGUGGACGAAAUUACCCUUAAGGUGGGUCAGCGCUCUGACGAAGAUGGUGACAUAACAGCUUUUGCCUGAUGUGAUGAUACAGGACGAAAAAUCAUUGUGGAAGCAUAAAGGAUUAGGGGACAGAAUAGUGAAGAACAGCUGGUUUCUACUGUUGUUAUUGGGUAUUUAAAAUUCUGCGGGGGACAACGUAAUAUAUAAUACAUUAGGAGACAUGAUUACCUGAUACCGGGGGACAACGUAAUAUAUAAUGCAUUAGGGAACAUGAUUACCUGUUAGCAGAAAACAAUUGGAGUAAGACUUUUGUUUUAGUCUCCAGAUCUUGUCCCCGAAUAGAAAUUCUCUGUUGCAUCUACGUUUUGUCCUCGAUUUCAUUAUCUUGCUCUAUUAUUAUGAAUCAUACAUCUUAUAUGCAAUUGUUCUCAUUUAAGAAUUUUGAAUUUUAUUUAGAUUUUCGCCAUCUAUUUUGGUCCACAGAUUAGUUGAGCGUUAUUGUCUUCACAUAGAUGCUGAAACCAUCUAUUUUUUGCCAUCUAUUUUCGCCAUCUUAUAUGAUAAUUUUGAAAGAUAAUGAAAUCGGGGACAAGAUCUAGAUACAACAAAGAAUUUAUGAUGAAUAAAAUUGGGAGACAAAUUUAAUUGAAAGUUAUAUGUAGAGAGACAAAUGCAUUUCGUUUAGUCUUCGGGAAAAUAAUGGUGUAUGGUCAAAGUGCACGGAUUUCGAGGAAAGAGAGAUAAAAUAGAGAAGAAAUGGUGAGGACAAAAUUGACAUUUCCCAUCCAAAUGUGGCAUGAAUUGUAAGGCCCAGAAAAAUAUGGCAAAUUGCAUAAGGAUUUUGAAAAAUAUGGCAUACGAUGUAAUUUUUCCAUUUUUAAAUAUAUAUUUGAUAUUUACUGUUUAAAAUAAUACAAAUAUGGAUAAAGUUAGCAAUACAAAUGUUAUUUGUCACUUAUAAUUGUU
rnacentral:sRNA from 1 species